rnacentral:snRNA from 1 species
AUCUGUUUCUAAACAUUCUCUAAUAAAAUUUAAAUCUGUUCUUAUCAGUUUAAUCUCUGAUAUGUCCUUUAUAUAAAGACUGUAUAUAAGGACUAUGUAACUAAACUGAUUCCUGAAAUCGGGGGCUAGACCAGGAGCUUGCUCUCUUACCCCAUGCAUCAACCUGGUAUUGCAGUGCUUCCAGGAACGGUGCAUCACUU